AGAACUGUCCAGGCCGAAAGAGCUGCUCCUCCGUCACAAAGCGCAGUUGCACACUGUACUGCAGGCGCGCGGGGACCCGGGCCGGAGCCGGGGUCGCAGCCAUGGUCCAAGCGCCUCUGCUCCUGAGCCCUAGCAGUGCCUCCCCCGCGCUGCUCUGGGCACCGAGAAACUGCUGGGGCAAGGGGGAGGGAUUUGGAAGCGCGCACCACCUUCCCCAGCUCCCGUUGCAAGUUCAGUCUUCGACCUCCGAGACGCCCGGUGACUUCUGCUGGCACCUGCUGCCCUCGGCAUCACCUCCCUCAUCCCCCUGGAGGGCACGCUGGAAAGCUGCAACUCCCCACCCUCCGCACAGGAGCGCCCCGUAGACGCGCAGAUGGGCCCAGCCACCCAGCGGGGCGGCAGCCCUGAGCACACAAGUUUGGAGAGCGCGCGAGGCACCUGAAAGUGGUUGGGGUUUGGAAGCAAAAGGGUGACACCUGCUGUUCGCUGGGACCGCUCUGCGGGUGUGGGCGUCGGUUUGGAAACGUCCUUUGCCUGAGCUCUGCUUGGCUGUGUGCCCCAUUCUUAUUACUCUAUCUCAGUGGGUCUCAAUCCCGGCUACACAUUGGAAUCACUUGGAAAGCUUUAAAAAUAAAACCAAACCUGUGCUUGGGCUCCACCAUAGGUGUUCACCACAGCUGUCAGUAUAAAUCAAUGCAUCUUGGUUCCAUUCUUCAUCAUUUGCUGGUAGCUAAAUUAUGGUAAAUUCAGCUAAGGACAUUUUAAAAUCCUGUUUAAUUUGUCCACAUGCUAAAUAUCCCAGCACACAAGAGAAAAAGCAGCAUGUACUUGGAUAAGACAAACCUAGGGCUUCCUUCGAGUUAAGGAACAGUCUUGGAAGUCUUGUUAUAGUUAAUGGUUUUUUGAGUGGAUGAGCAAAUGAAUGAAUAUACAAAUGGUUAUGCACACAAUUAAGCAAACUACUUGAUCACAUUCCUCCUUUUGGUUUUGCUUCCUCUACCUGUCAGUUGUCCUGAACACCUGCGGAGGUAUUUUGUGCAGGAUGGUUUACCACAUUGGCCUUGGGAGUUGAGGAAGCACCAGCUUAGGUUCUGCCACGUGCUCUUUCCUGACAGCGAGUGCUGCUGGCUGCUGACGCCUAGAAUCUCAGCACGGGAGCUGCCUUUGUCACAGACCUUGGUUCCCCAUUCAAUCGAGCACCUGUGCAGUUGCCCUGUGGUCUAGCAUCCCAGGCUCAGCAGUGACAGCUCCUGAUGGGCUUUCACCUGACUUUCUAAAUCAGUGCUGUUCUAAAUCUGUGCUAAAUCUGGUGACCAGCCAGAGCCUGGUCACCCCUGCAUGGAGUAGGAGUGAAGCUUAUGAAAAGGUGAGGUGCCAAACACACAGAGGAGAACACGGAGGAGGCCAUAUUGUAAUAAAGAGGUAAGAAAAGAUUCUGAUAACAUGGGAACAUGUUUGAAAGUUCUUCUGACCAAAGAUACUAAUCUUACUCCAAAAGCUUGUAUGUGAAGAAACAUGGCUUAUGAGUCAGAUGUCAGAGAAUCAUAGAUCCUUCAGAAACAGUGGGCAUCUUAAAGGUCACAUGGUUCAAAGCCCUUGCCAUAGAGGAAGAAGACAGGAGGACUACUAGCUCUUGUCUAUUUUCAUACAGUAUUGCAGGGGUGGAAAGUCCUCAUUCAUCAUAAGGGUCACAGACAACACUCCUAUAAGAAAAGACAGGUUAACAUGAGAAAAUCAUAACAAAUUUAUUUAAUCAAAAUUUCACUUGACAUGGGAAACUUCAGAAAUGAAGACCCAAAGACCCAGGGAAUACUGUCUAUUUUUAUGCUUAGGUUCAAUGAAGAAUGACCAGCCACGUAGAAAUGUAAGUGGACGAAAGUUAUGAUCUCGUGGUAAUAGACUGAGGGGAGUAUCCCAGCAAGGACUGUGCAUUCAGAUUCUUCCUGGCCUCUCUGUGUAGCAUUCCUUCUUCCUGGGUAUGGGGAAGGACCUCUCUGGAAUGAGUCUUUAAGGGCAAAGAGAGGAGGGAGAGAGUGACCCUUUUAGGUUUUGUCUUGCUUUGGGGUCUAGUUUCUAUGACCCACUUUGGGGAAGAGGAAUUCUUGUUUCUAUGACUCACUUCAAAGGAGGAAGGACAGGUGAGAGACAGGAGAGCAGGAGAAGGUCAGAGAAAGAGACUUUUCUUCUGAGCCUACUUCUGUGACCUUCCCACAUGGAUGCUCUUUGGCCAGUCACAGAACCCGUUGAUCCCUCGCUAAGCAUAUGUGUUAUCUCAUUUAAUCUUCACAUUGCUCUUAUGUUGUGGCUUCCAUUAUCAUCCCAAUUUUGCAGAUUAUAAAACUGAACUUUAGAAAAGUGAUUUCAUGGCUACAUUAGCAGAUGGCAUAGCAGGAAUGGAGGCAGAAAACUGGACUGGAGAACUGACUUCUUUCCUCUCCUCCAUAACUAUAUUAUUGGUGGUACCCAUGAGCAUUUCAGCAGGAGCAAUCAGGAAUGUUUGGUUUCCCACAACACUCCUCUUCCUCAACACAGAUGAAGCAGUGAUGACUAUUCAGAGAAGCAUAUGGCACUGGGAAUUGACCUUUGAAUAGCUAUUUCCAGAAGGUCGACCUUCUGAAGUUCCUGCCAUCAUGCAAUCUCAGGGAGUCAACAGUUACCUGUCAAGUCGGCCAAGUGUUUAAAAUAGCACUUGACCGAUAUUUAUUGUCACCCGAAAACAGGGAUUAAUAAUAGAAACUAUCCCACAGGCUUGUCGGGAAAACUAAAUGAGUUAAUAUGUCUUUUAUAUUACCCCCAGAAAGCAAGCAGUCAGAAGUCACCCCAUAAAACACCUUCCACCCUCUGAGCAUGACCAGCAAAGCGGUUUCUUCUUGCGGACACUGCAUCAGCCCAGCUCAAAGUGCAUUCCAUUCUGAUGAACAUCCACAAAC
ensembl:lncRNA LINC01231 long intergenic non-protein coding RNA 1231